rnacentral:rRNA from 1 species
CCCCGAUCAUGGCUCAGGAUGAACGCUAGCUACAGGCUUAACACAUGCAAGUCAGGGGCAUCAGUUUGGUUUGCUUGCAAACCAAAGCUGGCGACCGGCGCACGGGUGAGUAACACGUAUCCAACCUGCCUCAUACUCGGGGAUAGCCUUUCGAAAGAAAGAUUAAUAUCCGAUAGCAUAUAUUUCCCGCAUGGGUUUUAUAUUAAAGAAAUUCGGUAUGAGAUGGGGAUGCGUUCCAUUAG